GCAAGACCUGCUUGUAGGGAAACCAACUCAGGUUCUGCUUCUUCUGCAUCCCUGUCCUGACUUUUAUCCAGCAGAGACUACAUUUGAUUUCACCAUGGUACAGACAGCUGACAAUCACCAAACCUGUUCCUCUUCUUCCUGGACCCAGAGCUAGACUCUAUUUUCCAGCAGUUAGAUGUGGCCUUGUGACCCACAAGCCAACAGAAUGUCAUCAGAUCCAAUCCACCAGGAAAGAUGUUGUGGACUGUCUGCCCACCAGUGACAUCUCGCAGGAUCUGCAACACCCGUAUGCACUCCAUGACCCGCUGAUGCAC